AAUUGCAAGAAUUUUGAAGGAAGAUAGACAAUAUGGAAGCAGUGGGGACUAGAUUGUAAGGAUCUUAGACAGGGGAGGGUAAUUUUAAAAAAAAUAAGAAAUCAAUGACCUCUCGAUCUAUCAUCAGGAUCGAAUGGCCCCAAAACCAUAUAUAAAUUUUCCCUUUUUGGCUCCUUCAAACAGAAAAAACCCUGAAGGGGGAAUGAAAAUGGCGUGGAGAGAGAUCGACGCGGAAGGAUGGAGGAGAGGUUUCGACCGUGCGCAAGGAGAUGAAUUGUCGCCGAUUUGGAGAGAAAGGAGAUGAUCGCCGGUGACGGAGGGGGCAGAAGAAGCCGAUUGGGAAGAAGAAGAAGAAGAGGAUAGCGGCAUUGGCGCGUGAAAAAGAGCGCCUCAAAUGUCAUCACUCGUCGAGCAUUGAGAGGAAAGAUUGGCGUAGUGUCAACCACCGAUCCCCCAUUUUGUUGCUGUUUACACUUGUCUAUUUUAUCUCUGGCAUUUGGAUGAUUGUCGGUUUGAAAUUGUAUUUAUGUAUGUACAUUUAUGUACGUAUAUAAAUAAAUGCAUGUGUAGCUAUAGAGAUGCAUAUAUGCAGUAUAUAUAAAUAUAUAUAUAGGUGUUAGUGCAGAAACAUAGAAACAUAUAUAUACAGCAGAUGUGUACGCAUUUUAUUUGUGUAGUGUUUAUUUUUGCAUGUCC
rnacentral:lncRNA from 1 species